AAAAAAUCAAAAAAUGAUAGACUGUGAUCACAAAAACAAGUCGCAGCCAGUUUAAUCAGAGGAAAGACCUAGCCGAGAAAAAAACCCACAUUAGUCAGAUUAGCAUUGAAGGAAAAUUGAUUUCUAAUCCCAUACAGUUGGUUUUGAGCUCCUGCAAUCCUUCUUCCUCCAGGCUAAGAUUAGUCCUAGCACCCUGAGCCCAACAGAGUCCAGAGGCAAGGGAGCAAGCGGCCCCAGCUAGGGAUUGAAGGGAUGCGGAGGCUGGGAGCCUGAGGAGGUCGCAGGAUCUCCCGAGGGGAGGGGUAGAACUGUUCUCGCCUUUUUUUUUUUUUUUUAAAUCUGUGAAGACACUUCCUAAAAAGAAAAGUCCAUUUCAAAAUCUGGGCUUUCUAAUAAUGAGAACUGCUUUACAUAGGGAACAGCUGCUUUUUCUAGAAGUGGCCAAGCACAGGAUGGAUCCAGAAUUACGACGGAGAAGCCCCUGUGGGGGUCACUGGACCGGCUGACCAGCAAGGCACUCUCUAAGGUGGAGAUGGCAAGGUAUCGCGCUCCGUUGGAAUUCUGAUAGCUUCUGGACAUAAGGCCAAGUUCCGGCAGCACCCUGGGAAGGGAGCCCAGUCUGGUAGGCUCUGGUGCCUUGAGAGAAUUGCCUUUCCUAGAGGUUAAUAGAGAUGGCGGCCCUUCAGCGGCAGUGCUGGUACUGAGAGUGGGGUUAGAGCUUACAAGGGAAGGGGAAAGGGGAAAACUAGGCGCUACCUGGUCUUGCUGCAAUUAGUUUGUACUGUCUAUUUUCAUAAAAUAGGCUGCACAUUCGAGAUUUGAAAGGGAAUCUCACGUAGGGUAUCAGAGCCUGGUUAUAAAUAGCCCCACCCCAUAGCUCUGCCCUGGCCUAAGAGACUGGCAAAGAGGUGCCUGUUGGAGGCCUGGGCAUCAGAGCCACCCUCUCUCCCUCGUCCUUAUUAACACCAGCCUCCAGGGCAACAGGACAUCUUGACUUAAUGCCCCUAUCCACUGUGUUUGUUGUGCUCAUCACUGGACGUUCUGCUGCAAGGACAGCUUCACCAGACCAAGCCGCUGCAUCCCCUCGGUGGUGAGAAUAAAAAGGUGGAAUCACAGGCUCCGCCCUGGAGCUGCCUGGAGAGGGCCCCCUGGCACUGCCUUCACUCAAGGAGUGGUUUCUCUAGGGUACCUUUCUGGUAGCUGCUCUCAGCUUCGUCCAUUCAGUGAGGUAGUUCAUCUCUGUCUGCAUUUUCGGGAGGCUGGAGGAGGGACUGGGCAGGCCUGGGUAUGCAAACAGAAGCUUGGGGACCUCCAGAUGCUUGACUUCUUGGAGACAGGCGCCAUCACCUGGUGGCAUCCGUGAGCUGCGGCACAAGCCACGGCUCCCUCAAUGGGCCCGGGCUUGGCUUGGUGACCUCUUCACCGGCACGUUUACCUCUGUGAGCCAGUUCACGUGUGGGCUGCAGCACUGUGUAUUCAUCAAAGGGAUGACCUCUGAUGACCUGUCAAAUGGUCUGGAUGUUUCAAUAAACAAAGCCCAUCUUAGGGUGUGACUUCUCGUCAUCGUAGUUCCUUGAACUGAAACUCGAAGAAGAACUCCCUUGAGGUGGGAGAUUUAUAUGUGACUUUUACCUUUCAGAAGAAGAAAAAUACUGGGGAACUCAUGCUUACGGGGCAAAAAUUCCCACAAAACCAUUCUGAUUCAGGCCUCUGUGUGUGUGUGUGUGUGUGUGUGUCCGUCCCCAUACGUGCUUGUACGUUUCAGAAAUUUAACAACAACAGCAACAACAACCUUGCGGCUUGUACUGUUUUUAAGUAGGAUGGGCAAAGAGUUUCAAACCUCAUCCCUGAGUCCUACUCUGUUCUUUACUCUGUCUACUCCUCACCCAUAGCAGAGUCAGGCGCAGUCACUUACUGAUGACUUGCUGUCUCCUAGAGUCUCAGCCCACUCCAUGGGCCACCUCUUAUGUCAGUUUCCCUGGUUCCUGCAAACUCUGGACCAUGUGCAUAGGAUCAGGUGGGGCUUAAGCCAGAACUAAGUCAUACCUAUCCAUCCCCCACUUUCCCCAAGCAUGGUUUUAUAAAGAGGAAAAAUAUCAUGAGAAUCUAGCCUUGUUUCCCUCAUUUGACUCACCUUCCGGGGCGGCCUGGGGGUUGGGGAGGAAAAACCAAGAAGAAACGAAAAACAUUUAGGCUCUGGAGCAGAAAAAUAAAGCCAUGCCAAUCCAGGCUCCCUCUGUUAACGGUAAUUAAUCUUGGUGGAAUCACUCAGUUUUCACGUACUCAUCCAUGGAACACAGUAUCUAGUCCGGUUCUUGACAUAGAAGAGAUGCUUGGUAGUGAUUUCCUUAUCAGAUUAAAGCUGCACUCAAAUUCCUGUCCUUCCAUUUCUGUCUCUCCCCCAGACUAUGAGCAGACCCCAGGUGGGAGCGGUGGCUUGCGAUUCACUCAGAUCCCAGGGUUUGGUUCAGUGCUAGAGUCACAGUAGGUGCCCAUCAUGGAUUAUUUCAACCCAUCAGUAACUUCCACAUUUUAAAAUUUGAAUCAGUCAGUCUACACAUAUUUAUCAUGUGCUUUUCAUGAGGCGAGAUACCCUAUUAGCAUAAAUUGCUAGACACGAUCCAGCGACACAUUGGAGGAAAGAAAAUUCCAGGCUGAGAGCACAGCCUGGUGACAGAUGGGGAGGCACUAAGUAGGAUGAUGGGUCUGAGUGCGGCGGGAGGCAGUUGAAGUGGGUGCAGUGGCCCAGUGAGAGGUGGAAGACGACUUUGGAGUUGAAUCCAAAAACAACAGGAAGCCACUUCAGCACAUGAGGCAGGAGAGCCAAGGAUUUCUGUCAACUACGAAAGCUACCUCAGCAACGGAGAUGUAACUCAGGAGCCAAACUGCCAUCUCUGUUUUAAUUGGAGCCUGCUCUGUGAAGCCCACGGAGUUCUGGAUGCUUCCGGGCCAGCUCAGCUCAAGGAAAGCCAGGGCACAGAUCUAUCUAAUAAAGGCUAAUCCCCUGCAGGAGCCUCGGCUUUGCAGGUAACGCAGAGAGCAGUGGGCAAGGCCUCUCCCACCUCCAUCCUGCCUGGGCCCCAAUAAUCCUGAACUCUCGGAAGAAAUGCAAGGCUGUGACAAGGCAGUGCCUGAGAAGAAAGAGAUUUAGAAGAAGCAACAACAAUAAAAUAAAAUAAAGUCAAUUAAAAAUAAUAAAAAAAGACAAAACAAAGAACAAAAAAGCUGUGUGUGUGUGCUUACACGUCCAUAAGCAUACAUAAGAAAUAGAGAUUACAGACCAGAGUUUAUAUGAGAAAGAAUGAAGAGAGCAGAGGACAGAAAGAAUAAGACAGAGGUGGUGUGUGUGUGUGUGUGUGUGUG
rnacentral:sRNA from 1 species